CGAGGUGAUUAGGCGAUCGCGUGCCAGCAAUGGUAUGAGGAAAGUCCGAGCACCACAGGGCAGGAUGCCGGCUAACGGCCGGUGGAGGCGACUCCAAGGAGAGUGCAACAGAGAUAUACCGCCGCAUUUCGGUGCGGUAAGGAUGGAAAGGCGAGGUAAGAGCUCACCCACGGCUUGGCGACUUGUCCGUGCUGUAAACCCCAUCUGGUGCAAGAUGCGUAUGAGGACACAUGCGGCUGCCCGUCGCGUCCUCGGCAUCGCUUGAGCCUGCGCGGCAACGUCAGGUCUGGAUAGAUGAUCGUCCCUCGACAGAACUCGGCUUACGGUCACGCUCGCAUU
rfam:Faecalibacterium sp. CAG:74 genomic scaffold, scf147